CCAUUGUAUUGGAAAUUACGUGCGUUGUUUGGCAUUCCGUAGUUAUUGGGAGGCACUCCACCCAUGUUUGGUGGCAUAUUCGGCUGCUGCAUCCCACCUCCACGGGGUGGCCCUCUCAUGUCCGGCUGCUGCAUCCCGCCUGCAUGAGGUGGUGGCCCUCCAUAGCCUUGCUGCUGCAUGGGUGGCCCUCUCAUGUCCGGCUGCUGCAUCCCGCCAGCAUGAGGUGGUGGCCCUCCAUAGCCUUGCUGCUGCAUGGGUGGUCCUCUCAUGUCCGGCUGCUGCAUACCGCCUGCAUGAGGUGGUGGCCCUCCAUAGCCUUGCUGCUGGUGCAUCCCGCCUGCAUGAGGUGGUGGCCCUCCCAUGCCUUGCUGCUGGUGCAUUCCACCCAUGUUAGGUUGCUGCAUGCCGCCCAUGUUGGGAGGCCCCCCUGCUGCCAUGUUAGAUCCAGGGUUCUGAC
rnacentral:lncRNA from 1 species